GUACGUGGUUUUCUCUUGAACACCCAGUAAAGCAGCUGAAAGUCAAAGCCAGAUGUCCAGAGCUAGGCUUGCUGGGAUGUCCAGUUCCCUGCGGCUGGCUUCGUGACCUCUAGUCGCUUCCUUCUAGGAACCUCCGUUUUCUUCACGGGAAAAUAAGGGCUGGGGCCGUUGCUCCUGGCAAACGUAGGAGGAAGGAAAACUUCGCCUUUCCUCCGUUCGCCUAGGGUUCCGCAGACCGCCUGGACGUCACCGACCUGGUGCUUUCUCUCCCUCUUUCCCCUUUGCCCAUCACCAGUAUCUGCAAAACCUAUCUGCGAGGGGAGAUCACGGUGGAGGAUGCGCCUCAGGAAUCGAAGACAGGCGGAGGGAAGCAAAAAGACCUGACCUGGCAGCCAGAGGAGCCAAGCGUGGGCCCAGGCCCUGCUCCAACGCUAAUUAGUGGUGUGGUUCAGCGCAAAGUCACUCGCUUCUGGCUCUCCUGUUCUCUGUGACCUCAAGGGCAUCUCCUAACAACGACUCACAAGCCCUCUGAGCCUCACCAGAUUGCUUGAGCUCCCCCCGCCGCUGACGCGGACGAGUGGAGGGGUCCAGGCUCAGCUCGGUGGCGGCGAGUGUUUGGCGGUGACUCUGAGGACUCAGACAGCCUCAGAUGCUUUACUUGUCCCCCUUCCUCGUUUGUCAGCAAUCCUUCAUCGUGCCCCAGUUUCUGGGUGUAUUUUUAGUAGAAAUAAACUCACAC